UUAAGCGAACAAGCGUACACGGUGGAUGCCCUGGCAGUCAGAGGCGAUGAAGGACGUGCUAAUCUGCGAAAAGCGCCGGUAAGGUGAUAUGAACCGUUAUAACCGGCGAUGUCCGAAUGGGGAAACCCGGUGCACUUCGGUGCAUCAUCGUUAGCUGAAUACAUAGGCUAACGAGGCGAACCGGGGGAACUGAAACAUCUAAGUACCCCGAGGAAAAGAAAUCAACCGAGAUUCCCCCAGUAGCGGCGAGCGAACGGGGAACAGCCCAGAGCCUGAAUCAGCUUGUGUGUCAGUGGAACGGUCUGGAAAGGCCGGCGAUACAGGGUGACAGCCCCGUACACGAAGGCACACAGGCUGUGAGCUCGAUGAGUAGGGCGGGACACGUGAUAUCCUGUCUGAAGAUGGGGGGACCAUCCUCCAAGGCUAAAUACUCCUGACUGACCGAUAGUGAACCAGUACCGUGAGGGAAAGGCGAAAAGAACCCCGGCGAGGGGAGUGAAACAGAACCUGAAACCGUGUACGUACAAGCAGUGGGAGCCUUCGUAAGAGGGUGACUGCGUACCUUUUGUAUAAUGGGUCAGCGACUUAUAUUCUGUAGCAAGGUUAACCGUAUAGGGGAGCCGAAGGGAAACCGAGUCUUAAUUGGGCGUUAAGUUGCAGGGUAUAGACCCGAAACCCGGUGAUCUAGCCAUGGGCAGGUUGAAGGUUGGGUAACACUAACUGGAGGACCGAACCGACUAAUGUUGAAAAAUUAGCGGAUGACCUGUGGCUGGGGGUGAAAGGCCAAUCAAACCGGGAGAUAGCUGGUUCUCCCCGAAAGCUAUUUAGGUAGCGCCUCGUGAACUCAUCUCCGGGGGUAGAGCACUGUUUCGGCUAGGGGGCCAUCCCGGCUUACCAACCCGAUGCAAACUGCGAAUACCGGAGAAUGUUAUCACGGGAGACACACGGCGGGUGCUAACGUCCGUCGUGAAGAGGGAAACAACCCAGACCGCCAGCUAAGGUCCCAAAGUCAUGGUUAAGUGGGAAACGAUGUGGGAAGGCCCAGACAGCCAGGAUGUUGGCUUAGAAGCAGCCAUCAUUUAAAGAAAGCGUAAUAGCUCACUGGUCGAGUCGGCCUGCGCGGAAGAUGUAACGGGGCUAAACCAUGCACCGAAGCUGCGGCAGCGACACUAUGUGUUGUUGGGUAGGGGAGCGUUCUGUAAGCCUGUGAAGGUGUGCUGUGAGGCAUGCUGGAGGUAUCAGAAGUGCGAAUGCUGACAUAAGUAACGAUAAAGCGGGUGAAAAGCCCGCUCGCCGGAAGACCAAGGGUUCCUGUCCAACGUUAAUCGGGGCAGGGUGAGUCGACCCCUAAGGCGAGGCCGAAAGGCGUAGUCGAUGGGAAACAGGUUAAUAUUCCUGUACUUGGUGUUACUGCGAAGGGGGGACGGAGAAGGCUAUGUCGGCCGGGCGACGGUUGUCCCGGUUUAAGCGUGUAGGCUGACUUUCCAGGCAAAUCCGGAAGGUUAAGGCUGAGGCGUGAUGACGAGGCACCACGGUGCUGAAGUGACAAAUGCCCUGCUUCCAGGAAAAGCCUCUAAGCAUCAGGUAACAUUAAAUCGUACCCCAAACCGACACAGGUGGUCAGGUAGAGAAUACCAAGGCGCUUGAGAGAACUCGGGUGAAGGAACUAGGCAAAAUGGUGCCGUAACUUCGGGAGAAGGCACGCUGACAUGUAGGUGAAGCCCCUGCGGGUGGAGCUGAAGUCAGUCGAAGAUACCAGCUGGCUGCAACUGUUUAUUAAAAACACAGCACUGUGCAAACACGAAAGUGGACGUAUACGGUGUGACGCCUGCCCGGUGCCGGAAGGUUAAUUGAUGGGGUUAUCGCAAGAGAAGCUCCUGAUCGAAGCCCCGGUAAACGGCGGCCGUAACUAUAACGGUCCUAAGGUAGCGAAAUUCCUUGUCGGGUAAGUUCCGACCUGCACGAAUGGCGUAAUGAUGGCCAGGCUGUCUCCACCCGAGACUCAGUGAAAUUGAACUCGCUGUGAAGAUGCAGUGUACCCGCGGCAAGACGGAAAGACCCCGUGAACCUUUACUACAGCUUGACACUGAACAUUGAGCCUUGAUGUGUAGGAUAGGUGGGAGGCUUUGAAGCGUGGACGCCAGUCUGCGUGGAGCCGACCUUGAAAUACCACCCUUUAAUGUUUGAUGUUCUAACCUGGCGCCGUGAUCCGGCGUGGGGACAGUGUCUGGUGGGUAGUUUGACUGGGGCGGUCUCCUCCCAAAGUGUAACGGAGGAGCACGAAGGUCAGCUAAUCCUGGUCGGACAUCAGGAGGUUAGUGCAAUGGCAUAAGCUGGCUUGACUGCGAGAGUGACGGCUCGAGCAGGUGCGAAAGCAGGUCAUAGUGAUCCGGUGGUUCUGUAUGGAAGGGCCAUCGCUCAACGGAUAAAAGGUACUCCGGGGAUAACAGGCUGAUACCGCCCAAGAGUUCAUAUCGACGGCGGUGUUUGGCACCUCGAUGUCGGCUCAUCACAUCCUGGGGCUGAAGUAGGUCCCAAGGGUAUGGCUGUUCGCCAUUUAAAGUGGUACGCGAGCUGGGUUUAGAACGUCGUGAGACAGUUCGGUCCCUAUCUGCCGUGGGCGCUGGAGAAUUGAGGGGGGCUGCUCCCAGUACGAGAGGACCGGAGUGGACGCAUCACUGGUGUUCGGGUUGUCAUGCCAAUGGCACUGCCCGGUAGCUAAAUGCGGAAGAGAUAAGUGCUGAAAGCAUCUAAGCACGAAACUUGCCCCGAGAUGAGUUCUCCCUGAGACUGUAAGUCUCCUGAAGGAACGUUGAAGACGACGACGUUGAUAGGCCGGGUGUGUAAGCGCAGCGAUGCGUUGAGCUAACCGGUACUAAUGAACCGUGAGGCUUAACCUU
rnacentral:rRNA from 1 species